UACGUAGGGUGCGAGCGUUGUCCGGAAUUAUUGGGCGUAAAGAGCUCGUAGGCGGUGUGUCACGUCGUUCGUGAAAACCUGCAGCUUAACUGUGGGCGUGCGGUCGAUACGGGCAUCACUGGAGUUCGGCAGGGGAGACUGGAAUUCCUGGUGUAGCGGUGAAGUGCGCAGAUAUCAGGAGGAACACCGGUGGCGAAGGCGGGUCUCUGGGCCUGUACUGACGCUGAGGAGCGAAAGCGUGGGGAGCGAACAGG
rnacentral:rRNA from 1 species